rnacentral:rRNA from 2 species
CACCGGCAGCUCUAGUGGUAGCUGUUUUUAUUGGGCCUAAAGCGUUCGUAGCCGGUUUGAUAAGUCACUGGUGAAAUCCUGUAGCUUAACUGUGGGAAUUGCUGGUGAUACUGUUGAACUUGAGGUCGGGAGAGGUUAGCGGUACUCCCAGGGUAGAGGUGAAAUUCUGUAAUCCUGGGAGGACCACCUGUGGCGAAGGCGGCUAACUGGAACGAACCUGACGGUGAGGGACGAAAGCUAGGGGCGCGAA